rnacentral:rRNA from 1 species
AUUGAACGCUGGCGGCAGGCCUAACACAUGCAAGUCGAGCGGAGCGGCGGACGGGUGAGUAAUGUAUGGGGAUCUGCCAGAUAGAGGGGGAUAACUACUGGAAACGGUGGCUAAUACCGCAUACUAUAGGAUGAACCCAUAUGGGUUUAGCUAGUAGGUGGGGUAAAUGCCUACCAAGGCGACGAUCCGUAACUGGUCUGAGAGGAGGGACAGUCACACUGGAACUGAGACACGGUCCAGAGUCCUAAGGGAGGCAGCAGUGGGGAAGAUUGGACAAUGGGCUAAAGCCUGAUCCAGCCCUGCCGCGUGUGUGAAGAAGGUCUUCUGAUUGUAAAGCACUUUAAGUUGGGAGGCGUUACCAACAGAAUAAGCACCGGCUAACUUCGUGCCAGCAGCCGCGGUAAUUC